rnacentral:tRNA from 16 species
GUCGGGAUAGCUCAGUUG